rnacentral:rRNA from 1 species
UCACCUGUUUAACAAAAACAUGUCUUAUAGAAAAUAAUUUUAAGUCAAAUCUGCCCAAUGAAAAUUUAAUGGCUGCAGUAUCAAUAACUGUACAAAGGUAGCAUAAUAAAUAGUUUUUUAAUUAAAAACUAGAAUGAAUGAUUUAAUGAAAUAUAAACUAUAUAAAAAUAAUUAAAAUUUAAACUUAAAUUUUAAGUAAAAAUUCUUAAAUUUAAUUAAUAGACGAUAAGACCCUAUAGAAUUUUAUAAUAAUAUAUUUAAAAAAAUAAAAUAUUAUUUAAUUGGGGUAAUUUUAAAAUUAUUUAAACUUUUAAUAUUAAAACAUAAAUUAAUGAUUAAAAAUCCUAAAUUUUAGAAUUUAAAAACAAAUUACCUUAGGGAU